rnacentral:rRNA from 1 species
UACGUAGGGCGCAAGCGUUGUCCGGAAUUAUUGGGCGUAAAGAGCUCGUAGGCGGUCUGUCGCGUCUGCCGUGAAAACCCGAGGCUUAACCUCGGGCUGGCGGUGGAUACGGGCAGACUAGAGGUAGGUAGGGGAGAAUGGAAUUCCCGGUGUAGCGGUGAAAUGCGCAGAUAUCGGGAGGAACACCGGUGGCGAAGGCGGUUCUCUGGGCCUUACCUGACGCUGAGGAGCGAAAGCGUAGGGAGCGAACAGG